rfam:Capsicum annuum cultivar Zunla-1 chromosome 7, whole genome shotgun sequence
AUGUGUGUGAUGAGGAAGCAAUAUUUGUGGACUAGAGUUUCUGAUCUGGGGAUUAGACCCCCCAAUUUGGUUGAAGACAAAACCCUUGGCUGUCUGAGCAACUCUU